AAAUUGAAGAGUUUGAUCAUGGCUCAGAUUGAACGCUGGCGGCAGGCCUAACACAUGCAAGUCGAGCGGAAACGAGUUAUCAGAACCUUCGGGGAACGAUAACGGCGUCGAGCGGCGGACGGGUGAGUAAUGCCUGGGAAAUUGCCCUGAUGUGGGGGAUAACCAUUGGAAACGAUGGCUAAUACCGCAUAAUAGCUUCGGCUCAAAGAGGGGGACCUUCGGGCCUCUCGCGUCAGGAUAUGCCCAGGUGGGAUUAGCUAGUUGGUGAGGUAAGGGCUCACCAAGGCAACGAUCCCUAGCUGGUCUGAGAGGAUGAUCAGCCACACUGGAACUGAGACACGGUCCAGACUCCUACGGGAGGCAGCAGUGGGGAAUAUUGCACAAUGGGCGCAAGCCUGAUGCAGCCAUGCCGCGUGUAUGAAGAAGGCCUUCGGGUUGUAAAGUACUUUCAGCAGUGAGGAAGGUUCAUGCGUUAAUAGCGUAUGGAUUUGACGUUAGCUGCAGAAGAAGCACCGGCUAACUCCGUGCCAGCAGCCGCGGUAAUACGGAGGGUGCGAGCGUUA
rnacentral:rRNA from 1 species